CCUACGGGGGGCAGCAGUGGGGGAUAUUGCACAAUGGGGGGAACCCUGAUGCAGCGACGCCGCGUGGGUGAAGGAGUGCUUCGGCAUGUAAAGCCCUAUCGGCAGGGAAGAAGCAAGACGGUACCUGACUAAGAAGCCCCGGCUAACUACGUGCCAGCAGCCGCGGUAAUACGUAGGGGGCGAGCGUUAUCCGGAUUCACUGGGUGUAAAGGGAGCGUAGACGGCCAUGCAAGCCAGGGGGGAAAGCCCGGGGCCCAACCCCGGGACUGCCCUUGGAACUGUGCGGCUAGAGUGCGGGAGGGGCAGGCGGAAUUCCUGGUGUAGCGGUGAAAUGCGUAGAUAUCAGGAGGAACACCGGCGGCGAAGGCGGCCUGCUGGACUGCGACUGACGUUGAGGCUCGAAAGCGUGGGGAGCGAACAGGAUUAGAUACCCCGGUAGUC
rnacentral:rRNA from 1 species